rnacentral:lncRNA from 1 species
AGAAGUUAAAGCAACACGUGUGCACACGUAAAGCUUCAAUCUGCAACAACAGAAACACUUCCUGCUUCCUCCUAUCAGUCCAGCAACCCCAAGCUAUUCUAAAUCAAGGUGCAUCGAUCAAUUAGGCGCUCGGGCCAUUACAAACUACGCAGGCCAACAACAAUGCAACAUUAUUACAGAACACAAUACCUUAGUUUGUCACAGAAGGCUGCUAGAAACAUGCCAUAAUGAAAGAAAAAUUGAACAUCCUAAGAACAAAAAAGCUUACCUCUCCCAGAUUUCAACACCCAUUGGAUAUAAAAUUGGAUAUUUAUGACCCAAUCUAACCUUAUCGAACCAGUCUAAAAAUAGAAAUAGGAAAACAAAUAUAACUAAAUAGAAAUUAUAACUUUGAUAAGAUUCAGAUUUAAUAAAUGAUAAAACAGGGCAUCAGUCUU